rnacentral:lncRNA from 1 species
GUAGCUUACUUUCUCACUUCCCAAACCCUAAGUAGAAACCCUAGGGUACACAAGAAAAAACUUGCACCCACUUUUUUUUCUUUUCUCUUCUUUUCUCACGCACCAGACUUUUCUCACGCCACCCUUCUCUCAAGGAUAAGAUGUUCGCACGCCCCACCUUCUCUUCCUUUUUAAAACGGUGCAAGACUGCGUCUUUGCAGCAUUUUUACCGCGUGAAAGGAUAAAGAUAAGUGGUUGUUCACUUGAAUUCAAAUCGAAUUUGAAUUCAAAUGCCAACCAACUCAUUCUUAUCCACUCUACGCGUGAGAAGAGAGGGGCGUGGGCAUCUUUGUACGUGGAGACUUUACACGAGAAACCUUUUCUCCUGUGGAAGAAGGGGCGCACAAAAUAAAGGGUGGGCGCAGAGAUUUGUUAUCC